UUGAUAUCCGAACUCAUAACUCCAAAUCUCCAGAUUCACACACACACACACACACACACACACACACACACACACACACACGCCACGUAGGAAAAAGUACAGUCCUGAAAUAUGACAAGUCUUCUAUUUACGCAUGCAGGUUUCCAUGUUUCCUUCUUUAAGGACAAGCACAGAGAACUCGAGAACACGUGCCUACACACUGUGCUGAUGGCGCUCCAGUUCCCCAUCAUGCCUUGUGUUCUCUGUUCCCUGGCAUCUGGACAGUCUCUGAAAUUCUCUCUUCUUAGUGUUAAUUUUAUUCCUAGGACUUUCUAUAAUCAUUUUUAAAACACUGAUUUUAUUUAUUUGUGUAUUUGUAUAUUCGUGUGUGUGUGUAUGUGUGUGUGUGUGUGUGAGAGAGAGAGAGAGAGAGAGAGAGAGAGAGAGAGAGAGAGAGAGAACUGUAGUGUUUUCCCAAAUCUAUUACAUGGUAUAAACACACCCCAGAAAAGAAUCGAAUCAACAAAAGACCAAAAUAAUGAUUGUACCAAAGUCCAACUUGGUGAACCAAUGAGUUCUGGGCUCACCAGGACGGGUCCCAGAUGCUCGGUGGGUCCUGGCCUUGCCUCUUGAGUUCUAGGUAAGGUCUGAGCUUUAGCAUUUUGUGGAUUUGGCCCGGACCUUUACCCUACAAACUCCUGUGAUACUUGGACCAUUUCUGGUGUUUUCAUAACUGUCCGCCAUAAGCUCAUAUUGUACACUUAGUCCCCAGAUAUUACUCCUAGGAGAAGUCAUAGGUGAAAGGCUGCUCUUUUCCUUCUACACAGAAGGAAAUGCUUCCACCAUGGAGAUAUUUUCCAUGUGCCACCAAGUCUCUCAGCUUGCUCUAUAAACACUGGUCAGGGGAGCCGUGGCGUGUACCCUUCAUAGUUUUCUUCAGAGGCUCAGAUGGCUUCUCUGUAGAAGCGCUGCAUACCAGGGACGUGGCCGCUCCUGGCCUAAAAGCAAAGCCAUGGACAUUACAGAACACUGUGAGACUUCUGUGACGUCACACACAUACAAUAGCCUAUUUCCACACUGUGAGGAAGAAUGAAAGGACUUAUUUUCUUAUGUGUUACAAAUAAAGACCAGUUUUGCCUCAGACUGGAGAGAGCAGACCCCCAGAAGGGAUUUUGAAAUGAGAGCAUUUGUUGCAGUUUCUUCACCUCUGAAGUAACACAAAAGAAAAGGAAAAAUUGCCACAUUAGGGGGAAAUUGUAUGUAUCUAUACGUUUUAAAAUAUGCAGCCAUUUGCACACACGAGCACGAGUCCUCCUGGGUUCCCUCCGCAAUUGCUUUCUGUUUUCCUCCGACUCGACAGCUGUAAAUGGUUUUGGUGAAUCGCGCUGGUACAUUUCCAUUAACAUUAGCAAAAUUUAUGUUGACUGCACAGUCAACUGUGAGCCUUGAAAGGCUCUCAUCGUCUUGCACAGAGAACACACAUCUGUGUCACAUGGACGCUUUCCCAUACGUCAGAGUGCCAGUGGCUUAUCAAUCUUGGUCUCGUCUGGACUCGGAAGGCUCCUCUCUCAUUCAUCAGGUUUAGUGUUGACGAGCUGUAUUCUGACAGCGCAGCUUUUCCAUCUUCUCCUCGGUCAGGCACAGCGGGCUUUUCAUGCCAGUGGAUGAGGUUUUCCUUGCCGAACAGGUAUGUUUGUGUGCUGUGCAGAGAGAGGACUAAUUUUGAAACUGUCCAGCUUGCAUAACUUCAAGAUGACGUCCAUUACUCUAUGAGCUGAAUCUUCCUUCCUACUAAAAUAUAUACAAAGGUAUACGAUCUCUGCCUAUCAAGAGUCUUCAUCCCAAGCUUGCAGGGCGCGCGCGCGUGUGUGUGUGUGUGUGUGUGUGUGUGUGUGUGUGUUUUGAAAGUCAUUUGACACAGUCUUUAAGCUCAGAACCUGGCUGAUAAACUCCUUGACCCACCUCCAUAUUUGACCUAACCAGAAACUGAGCAAGUGCUUAUCACACUAUUUGUGAUAUCUAGUGAUUUUUAUGUCCAACACAUCACUUUUGUGAAAUGGACAAAGAGCACACAAAGGUUUUUAGUGUUUUCUCGCCGGCUCUGUGUUCACUUAGAUGCCUGAUGCUGUGAGUUCAUGGAGCAAACCAGGUCUGGAGCACAGAUACACGAGCACAGCCGUACUUCCUUGAAAACACUCCUCUGAGAUGAGGCCCGCAAAUACUAACAUGUGAUCCAAGAUGUUUUCAGCCCCAUGUCCUGCAAGAUGGGUCCUGGUGCAGGCUCAUUUACUCAUCAGGAAAUAUUUGGGUAUCUACUCAGAGCUUGUCUGGGUGUUGGAUGAGUGAUAGUGAAUUAGUUGAAGAAGGCGCUGCCAUCAAGGGACCUAUUGAGGAGGCCUGAGUGAGAUCCACUAGAAGUUCAGGUACGGUAGAGGGUUGAGGAUUUAAAGGUUAGGGUUUUAUAGAGAAGUCUCCUAUAUUUCUGCAGAGGAGAACACAUUCCUGUGGAACUCAUUCCUCUCCAAGAAGGAAAUGUUUGAAGGGCGAAACCAACAAGGAAGGCAGAUAGGAAUUUCUUGAGCUUGGCUUCAGUUACUUUUCAAUUGCUGUGAUAACGCACCAUGAACUAGCAACUUAUAAAAGAAGUGUUUAGUUGGGCUGACAGUUUCAGAGGGCCAGAGUCCAUGAGGGCAGACCAGUGGUAUGGAGCAGAAAAUGCUGAGAGCUCACAUCCUAAACUGCGAGUAGGAGGAAGAGAGAGUACACUAGGAAACACUGAGUCUUUUGUAAACCUCAAAGCCUGUCCUCAUUGACAUAUCCUCCACCAAGGCUACACCUCCUAAUCCUUUUCAAACAGUUCCAGCAAUUAAGGAACACAUGAACCUAAGAGGGUUAGUCCCAUUUAAGCCACUAUACCCAUAAACACAUACACACACACACACACACACACACACACACACACACACACACAAAACAAGAAAAAACAAGAUCCUUUUUCAAACAAGUUAGAAGACAAGGACCUAUACACAAGUUGUCUUUGACUUCCCAAGUUUAUCCUUUGACCUGUAUGUCCAUGUUGUGCUAUACAUGCUCCCACCCUCAUACAUGUGCAUGUGUAUAUUAUACAUGAAGAAAGAAGAAAGAAGGAAAGAAACAAUUUCUAUUUAACAAAAUUCUUAAAACAUGGGAGAAGGAGCUAGAGAGGUAGCUUCUGGGGUUAAGAGCAUAUACUACUCUUUUAGAGGACCUGAAUUCAAUUCCCAGCACCCAUAUCAGGGAACUCACAGUUACCUAUAACUUCAGAUCCACGGGGACCUAACUCCUUUGGCCUUUGUGGACACAUGAAUUCCCAUGCACAUACCUACACCAAGAUAAGAUACACACAGACAGAGAAUUUAAAACGACAAAAGUAAAUCUUAAGAAAACGACAUGGUUUUUAAUGAACCUAACUCCACAUAAAUAAACUUUGAUGUAAUUUGUUACUACAGACUCUUCCUAUAAGAAACACUAAAAAGGCAUAUUAGUCUCAAGUAAAAAGCUAUCAGCUCAUUAGUGAAAUGUGCAUGAAAGUGUCAGACAGCUGCAUACGAAGUCGCAAGUUAAUGUAUCAUUUGGUUAUGACUCUUGUUCCCUCCCUGAAACGGGAUAAUUUUAUGAAACAAGUUGUUCACAUUUAUACUGAUGAGGUAUUAAGAUACCACGGUGGCGUUAGCAGCAUAGGGUAGGGUAUAGAUGUAUAAAUGCAGGAUUUUAGGACGUACAUUUUUGAAACACACACCUAGCCAAAUUGGUCAAAGAAGAAAUAGAAACACUAGAGAGCUUCAAACUAAAAGGAGGAGAUGAGGGAGAGGGGGUACUCCCUGAAUUCUCCCCAAGACUUAAAAAACUAACACUACAUAUCCUAAAUGCUUCCAAAAUAAAAGAUGUAAGAAAUAAUCCCUAGUUUAUUGAGAGGCCAGCGUUGUUACAACAUCAAGCCAAAGGCAUCACAAGAGCACUGCAGACAAAUUGUCUCUUAUGAAUAAAGGUGGAAAAAUCCUCAUCAAAAUACUAAAAAUUUGAGUUCAGCAGAUAAUACAAAGAACAAUACAAGUCACUAGAAGACAAUGAAUCAAGGGAAAUCUAGUCGAGUCAGAGUCAGAAAGGACAUUUAAAAAUUCUAGCCCUCUCUCCACACAAGCAAAACAUGACUGAAAAUGUGUAGAGAGUGGGGACAGAAGGGCCAACUUGCAAAAAAGUAAGGAACUGCAAAUAGAGUUCUCUUACCAAGGAGAAUACAGGUGGCCUAUAGGUACCUGGAAAGAUACUGAGGCUUCUCCGUCUCUGCAGGGACAUUUAAACAAUGAAGAGAUGACAACUUAGACCAGGAGUUCUCAACCUGGGGGUGCGUGACCCCUUUGGCGGUCAAAUGAUCCUUUCAUAGGGGUCGCCUAAGACCACUGGAAAAGCACAUAUUUACAUUAUAAUUCAUAACAGUAGCAAAAUUACAGUUAUGACAUAGCAACAAGAAUAACUGUAAAAAAAUGACUAUGGUCGGGGGUCACAACACAAGGGACCGUGUUAAAGGGCUGCAGCAUUGGGAAGGUUGAGAACCACUGUUAGGAUGGUUACAAUUUAGAGAAAGGGAAACAGCCUCGUUGGUAAGGAUGGGGAGACACUGAGACCUUGUGUGCUGACACCGAUGGGAGUGCACAACCAUACAGCUGCUGACUGACAGGGCCUGUGGUUCCUCAGAACUUAAACAGUCCCAGUGUUCUCUCUAUGAGUUACACACCCAAAAGGAGUGGAAAUGCUUGCUAGACAAACUGUACAUGGGUACCCAAUCAUUUUAGUGUCACAACACAGAUGCCCUCCAGCUGGUGACUGGGUGAGUAAAUUGUGAUAUAUCUAAAUAGUGACGUCCAUAAAAUAUUGAUUUCACUUUUAACUUUGUAUCCGUGUGUGUGUGUGUGUGUGUGUGUGUGUGCGCACGCGCAAGCUAACAGAGGCAAGAAGAGGACAUCAGAUCCCCUGGAACAGGAGUUAAAGGUAGUUGAGAACUACUGCCAGUGGGUGCUGGGAACUGAAUUUGUAUUCGAUAGAAGUAACAGAAUGAGUUCUUGACCAGUGAGCCAUCUCUCUGGCCCUACAAUGAGUUCUUAACUAGCUAUAAAAGAAGGGACAAGGUACUGGUCUACCUUCUGAGACAUACUGAGCUUCUGAGACAUACUGAAAGGCAGAACGAAAACCCAGCUUGCACAACUCAAAGAACACAUCAAGCAAAGGUAAAGACAUGGCAGAGAAAUUGUCUUCUCGCCUUCCUUAAGGAUGAGGAGAGAAGGGAUGAGGAAGGAGGCUUCUUCUGGGGGAAGGAGGGGAGGAACGAGCAAGUUCUAUAACUUCAUAGCCCUGAUGUUUGCACGAGACUUUAAAUAUCCUAAAAUAAAAUCCACCAAACUUUGCAUGUUUAACUGGUUAAAACAGUGAAUUCUAUUUUAUAGGGAUUUCAUCUUAAUUUAAAAAAAAAAGGCUUUUAAAAGUAUAGCCUUGGUGGGUUACUGGCAAAUUUGAAGACUUAAGGCCUCUGUCUGCAGUUGGCUUACCUACAGCAGCUGCUCAGAGAUCAAAUGACUAACCAGUAAUAAGAGUAUGCAGGUGUGGACCGGCACCACCAUCAUCAAGCCCAACUUAGCUGCCAGGCACAGCAGGCACAGUGCCCAGGGUCCGUAGCACAUUUGAGAAGCCGUAAAAAUGAUUUAAUUUUAGUUUAUCUUAAAAUCAGAAUUGAAAACGAAUAUAUAGUCAUAAAUCCAGUACUAAUCUUUCUACCAACAGCCAUAAAGCAUGAUUUGAAGUGUUUUAUUUUAAUGAUGGAAGAGAUCCAGGAAGACGAACGUGCCUCGGGACCACAGAAGUCAACACGUGGCUCUGGCCACACAAGCAGAGUUAAAGAGACACAGAUGGACUCAAGAGGUUCUUAGAAGAUAACAAUGGAUGGGUUGGUGGCUAGAUACAGGAUCUCACAGCUGGGUGGGAUGCUGGUGUUGACUACUGAGGUGGGGACCCAUGGGAGAAGGCUGGAGGAAGACAAGAAGAUGAGCUCAUGUCUGGCCCGGAGCUAUCCAAGGCGCUGGAGAAGAGUCUGUGUAAAUAAACAGCCCUCACAACUGCUCUUACAGAUGGCUUCCCUCCACACGCUUCUUUGGAUACAUUGUUUCACAUUUACUACAGAGACCGGAGAAACUAGAACAAGCGUCAUUUUCUUGUUUUUUUUUUUUGCUGAAAUGUGCAAAUGCUAAUGUCAUGUUAGUUAAAAAUAACUUUAAGGAAAAAACCAAAACACAUACAGAUAAUAACCCAGCUUCCUUUUGCAUAUCAAGGCAGAUAAAGCUACAAGAGCUAAUAAUAAAGAUAACCUCGUAUAUUCAACAAGCCACACUACCUAUGUCCACAUGGGUGCUGCGCCGGGCGAUGAAACUCAACAGCUGCCGACUGGAUUGAGCUACAAGACCAGGAUGAAACAAGUAUCUUGCAAGUGUUCUCAUGGGGUUUUACAACCCAAGCAUUGUUUUUUUUUUAAUUAAGAGACGUGAUAUGAAUUUGACGACUUUAUCGACACCUUCAAUAACUCCAGAUAGCAUCUAAAGUUCAUGUUUUCAAAACAACAAACCCUUUCGUUACUUAGGUUACACGUGGUAAGGUGACAUAUUUUAAAAUUUGGAGAGAAAGCCUAUGUCAUUUGCAAACCACACGUACAUACGUAGACACACAAAGACACAGAUAAACACACACACAGAGACAUACACCAACACACACAUACGUAUACAUACACACAGAUACACACCGACACACAAAGAUACACACAGAUAUGCAUACAGAUACACACACACACUCACAAAGAUACACACCAACACACACACAAAGAUGCACACAUACACAGACACACAGAUAAACACAGACACACACACACAUACACAGACACACAGAUACAUACAGAGACACACAGAUACAUACCUACAAACACAACACACACACACACAGAGACACAGAUACACACCUACACACACACAAAGAUGCACACUGACACACACACAGAUACACACAUGCAUACACACGCACAUACACAGAGAAAGACACAGAUACACACCUACACACACAAAGAUGCACACUGACACACACACACACACACACACACACACACACACACGCACGCACGCACUAUGACUCCUAACUAGACCCUCAGUAAUAAGAUACAACCUGGCCCAUCAUAUCCCGAAGAGCAACUGAACAAGGUGAGCGGCUCUGGCCCUGAGAAACUACAUCGUUACUUUGACAAUUCCUUUUUCUUGAAAGAUCAGUGGAAGCAUGUCCUUUGUAAAAAUUAAUUCUAUGCUAAGACUUUUUCAUCUGUAAAUUUCUUCCUGACAGUUAUUAAUUUGGGGCCCAACCAGGGCCACAGAGUCUCACCACAUUAAGGUCUAGCCAACUUUUUCUUCCUUUUGGCUCUGAUGCCUGGGGGUCACGGUCAGGACAGAAAGAAUUAGGCAGAAUGUAGGUCAGUUCACCAGGUGAUAAAUUUGCCCCUUCCGUUGGAGCCUCUGAAGUUUCUGAGGCUAAUGGGAUGGCAGGUGCUAUUUUGACCAAAGAUGAAAGGAGAGAAUCUUCAAAGUCCACAGCCGCCUGGCGCUUGAGGUUUGAGAGCACCAGGUGGAGGGGCAGGAAACACAGGUUCUCGGUUUUAAGAGAAGUCUGCUGUUCUAGAAGCAGCCAGAAAUGAAGAGGCCACCUCUGACUGCAUGGUUCUUUUAAAAAGCAGGAGGAGAAGGCAGGGAGCGGAGAAGCUGGACCAAAGGGUUUGCUUGUUCUGUGAUGAGCGCUGAACACAGAGUCAAGCAUUGGAUUCCAGCCCCACGGCACAACACUAAGUCAGUGUGCACAGCGGCAAGCAUUUUGUCUCUUUGGGCCUCUGUUUCCUUGUUUGCAGAUGAGGGUUUAAGUCCCCAUCAUAGGUGUCAUUAGAUGUCCUCGUGUGGUUUUAGUUGCUAGAAUGAUAGACUUGAAACGGUGUGGUUUAUAAAGAAAAGAGGUUUAUUUGGCUUGCUCGCAGUUCCGGAGGCUGGAACGGAAGAGCGGAAGGACACGGCACUGGUGAGAAGGUGAGGGACCUUCCUGCUGUGUCACAAGGUGCUGGAGGACAUCACACAGUGACAUGUUUAUCCCUGGCUUUUCUUAUGAAACCACCAGCCCCACAAUGGGCUCCCAGUCUGUUGACCUCAUCUGAUCCUAAUCACCUUCCCACCGACCACUUCUAAACACCAUCAUGUAAACUGAAGAUUCUGUUUCCGACAGUUGAAGACUAGAGGCCAUGGCAGAGAGCUUCUAGAAGAUUCUUGACAGUGACUACCAACUUUCUAUUGGGUGUUUUUUUCAUCCAGGUUGGUAAUCUUGUCUUCCUGUGUUAUAUAAUGGGCAACAUAAUGAUGUUCUAUGUCCCUAUCCUAUGAGUGUGUUUCCUUAUCUAGCAAAAGGGCUUGCUUGAGGUAUAAUUAAGACAAGACUCUUCAGAUGGGGAAACUAAUCUGAUUUGCCCUGGCAGGCCUGAUGGAAUUACAAGAUUUCUUCUAAGAGGGAAACAUGGCAGAGGGGAGAGAGAGAGAGAGAGAGAGAGAGAGAGAGAGAGAGAGAGAGAGGGAGAGAGAGACGGAGACAGUUUUACUGCUAUUGGCUUUGAAGAUGAAGGAGGGGACCACAAGCUAAGGAAUGCAGGUGACCCCUAGAAGCCAGAAAAAGGAAGGAAAUGGAUUUCAGAUAGGGUUUCUCAAAGGGAGGGAGAGCUCCACCAGCCAAUUCAAGCCUUCUGACUUUCAUAGUUGCUGUAUAAGAUUCUGUGGGGUUCCAGACACUGUUUGAAGAAGAGUACAACAGCAGUAAGAGUCAGCCCCUGUACUGUCUGUCAUGGUAGUGCGUUAAGUGCCACAAUCGUGGCCUGGUUAGCUAUCUCUCUUGUCCCCAAUCUUAUGUCACCAGGGCUGCUUCUGGUCUUGCAGAGAUGAGUGCUGAUUUCCUUCUUGGUGGCAGAGGUUCCAGAAAUGCCUCCUCUAUGAUCCUGUCCCUCCUUGAAGUGACAUCUCAUAUUGACUCACGGAUGAGGGGUGAUUAACAACCAAAAAGAAGAUGGUAAGAAGGGCCAGCUGUGGUUUCUGGAGAAACUUGGAUUCUUCACCUCCAGCUCUUCUGAUAGAUGAAGAAGACCAUCCCUCAGAAGGCACAAGCUUGACAUGCUGUGUUGGGAAAGAGUGAGGUCUCCACGUUGAUGAAAGGCAGGGCUACUCUCAAGGAAGAGUCUUGGAAGAGCCCCUAAACUGCUUCCUGCUCUUGACAGGGACCGUACACCAAGCAUCGAUUCUAGAGGAGGCGAACAGCACUGACAGCUAUUCUUUGUCUCUCGUCUGGGCUUUGCACGGAGCUCGACGUCGUUUCCAUGGGUGAGAAAUACCACUGCCACUACCUUGAUAGCGUUCCUGCCUCCAUGGUUCCUGACCUGCCUAGAAAGGGAGGACCCUGGAGACUCUUGUUCUACAGCUGUCCUCAGGAUACCCUUAAUUCCCAGGCGCAGGGAUAAGCUUGUCUGACCCCAUUUGACCCCGCCGCAGGCGCCAGGCGUCCUCAUUUAUUGUGAGGCCUAAGAGUCCUCAAGGCUGCCUGCCUACUCCCCCGUCCCCGCCCCCCCCCCCCCCCCCCCGCCAACCACCACCCACCACUCUCCUUGUCCUGUGGGGGAGUCAUAUGCCUCCUUCCUGUUGUCUAAGCUUCCCUCUUCCAUAGGCACAAGCCUGCCCCUCUGCGUUUUUUACUUUAAAACGGGUGUUCUGAGGAUUGUCUCUAGUUCAGGUGAUGUGAGAGAACUAGGUCUGAGGGAGGUAGACGGCAACAUUAGUGGGGAUCGGUGCUGCAUUGCUAAAUGUGGCGCAGGGAAGGGAAACACAUCUGGGAUUCCACGGGGCAGCAGCAGAUCUGUCACUUGGGCAGAGCCUUUGAGCGCUCUCAGGUAAUUUCCAGAUAUCUAUUGUUUGCUUUAACCUGACAUUCAUUUGCAUCUGACUGAGUCUGGAAUUUUUGCUGGGACCCUGACUGGGCAGGCUAUUUCUAUUCCCUCCUGCCUAUGCUCCCAGGAGAGGUGGAGACUGUCUUGGGUUUGGCUUGGAGGAUGUCGAUAUGCCUCAUUUUCAAACUAAAGAUCUAGAAGAGACCAGCAAGAAACAGCACAGAGUCUACGUAGGUGGAUACCAGAGAAUCGCCUGGAGAGAUUUACAGGUGUGUUCUGGACUUUGGGAACCGUGGACACACAGAACCAGCUACCUGUUUCGAUUUGAAUUGUGCCCCAACUCAGCUAUGAAGGAAGCAAGUUGCUUAAUUUUCUUCAACAGCGUCUAUUGUUUUGUUCUCCCUCCUCUUCCCUCUCUUCUUCCUUUCUCUUUCCUUUUCUUCCUCUCCCUCCCCCCUUCCUCCUCCUCUUCUUCCUCCUCCUCCUCCUCCUGUUUCCCCUCUUCUUUCUCUUCCCCUUACUUCUGUUUUGGGAGGACAAGGUCUCCCUUGUAUAGCUCUGAUUGGCCUGGAACUUAGCCUUCCUGUUGGAGCCUCCUGACACCUGGGAUUGCAGAUGUGCACCACCAUUCCUGACACCUGGGAUUGCAGAUGUGCACCACCAUUCCUGACACCUGGGAUUGCAGAUGUGCACCACCAUUCCUGACACCUGGGAUUGCAGAUGUGCACCAACCACCACUCUUAGUUUUUAGUUGUCUAGUACCUCAGACUCUCUGCAACAAUACUUUCCUCAAGGAGAGAAUGUACCUGGCAUUAAAGGAUGCACAUGGGCUUUUAAAGGGUGACAGCCACUCUUUGGAGUGGAAGUGCCACUCACGCGCGCCUUUGCCAAAAGAUCUCUUUGCAACGUAAGUGAAUGAUGGUAUGAGCCUUGGGAGAAGACAAGCA